CCAAUGCAUCGCUUGUCGCCCAACUCCCAACGACGUCGCCCUUCCUCACCGCUCUGCCCAGCGCCCCUCUGCCCAGCACUGAACUGCCCAGCGCCGCCGCUAAUCUAUCGAGCGCAUAGGUGCCCAGGGCCGUCGCUAAUUUGCCUGGAGCCCCUCUGCCCAGUGCCAUCCCUCGCAACCAGAUACGCCGAUCCGUCCCUCGCCAAGACCUCCGUCGUCGCCCCUCCUCCGUCCACCACCCCUCCCCUAGGAACUAGAUACGACGGAUUCGAAGGAAGGUGGUGACCGCCAGAUCUAAAGAGGUGACCUCAAGAGACUCCGCACAAACCUUCAGUCUAAGCUCCGUGAUGAGUACCAGCCAUAACCAACCUUUGGGCAGGUACACCCAUACUUCUAACAGGUGAGAGAUGCAGAGAACAGCAGGACGCUGGCAUUGUUGUCAUCACCUCCGGUGCUGUCAAGUACUUUACUGGAAGCCAAAAGGUGAGGGAGGAAGAAGGAAUAAGCACAAGCUGGAGGACUUGGACUGGAAGAGCACCGCUGGGUAUUUUUGUUGGGAAGAACAUUGCGAGGCCAAGGAGUUGGAAGGUUGCCUGUAUCUCCGAUCAGAGCGGUGAUCACCAGCAACAACAGCAAGUAGUCAAGAACAAUGCCAAUUGCAGCAUGGCUCCCUCCACCAGUGGCAAACAUGUUUUUCGGAGAUGGUGUUACGCCUUCUGGAUAAGAAUAGUCAGACCAAUAUAAAGAUGGAGAUUUCCUGAUAACAUUAUCAGGAAUUCUGCAUAUGUACCUCUUCAACCAAUCGUAGUUGUGCAUAUUUAGGCCUGAAACUUUCUCACUAAAACUUAUGUAAAUCUCUCUCUCUCUCUCUCUCUCUGAACGUCUCAUUCUGUACAUCUACUCAAGAAUCAUCUCCAGAUGUUCUUUGAACAUACAAUUAUAUGAAGUUAUUUUGUAUA